UACAGAGGUCUCAAGCGUUGUUCGGAUUCAUUGGGCGUAAAGGGUGCGUAGGCGGCGCGGUAAGUCGGGUGUGAAAUCUCGGAGCUUAACUCCAAAACUGCAUUCGAUACUGCCGUGCUUGAGGACUGGAGAGGAGACUGGAAUUUACGGUGUAGCGGUGAAAUGCGUAGAUAUCGUAAGGAAGACCAGUGGCGAAGGCGGGUCUCUGGACAGUUCCUGACGCUGAGGCACGAAGGCCAGGGGAGCAAACGGG
rnacentral:rRNA from 1 species